rnacentral:lncRNA from 1 species
AUAUCCUGAUCUUAUACAACUACAAAUGGAUACUUGAGAUAUGUGGCUCCGGGAUUGCUUUCUCGCAGGGAGUCGAGGAAGGAUCUCUGGGCAUUAAUGUUACAACAUGCUUGUUAAAUAUUAUAAACUGCUAUUCUUUACUCUUCUACAUGCUGCAAGAUGCUCGGAGCUGCGUGAAGAUGCUAGUCUUCGAUAGGCUAGGCCUUCCCCCUCUAUUCUGGCAUUCUGCAGUUCAGUCCACAGAUACAACCUUUCCAUUUGAUACCAAUGGAUACUUAGUAUAGAUCUGAUGCUUGCGAGUACUUUGGAUGAGUACUCACGGUUGCUUUGCUACCCCUUUCCCCCCUUCUUUCUUCUUUCCGGUUGAUGCAACCAGAUGGUGGAUCCUUGGAGCCAGAUGCCACCGCUGAUGGAUGCUACUACGUGGAGCCCGCCGACGACCAAGAGUAGUUAGGUGGUCCCAGGUAGGAGGCCUUGCCUCUUCGAUCGUUGAUGUUUGUGCUAGCCUUCUUAAGGCAAAACUUGUUUAACUUAUGUCUGUACUUAGAUAUUGUUGCUUCCGCUGACUCUUGUGUAUCGAGCUAUGUAUUCGAGCCCUCGAGGCCCCUGGCUUGUAAUAUAAAGCUUGUAUUAUUUUGACUUGUGUCUAGAGUUGUGUUGUGAUAUCUUCCCGUGAGUCCCUGAUCUUGAUCAUACACAUUUGCGUGUAUGAUUGGUGUACGAUUGAAUCGGGGGCGUCACAAGUUGGUAUCAUAGCCGACUGCCUGUAGGAUCCCUCUUUCCAAUUCCUUGGCCGAAGUUGAGUCUAGUCUUUAAAAAAUAACUGAUUUACUAACAUGGCUGUGUGGCUUACGGGCCCACGUCACCAAUUGGGUGGUAUUAGUAUCGUUUAUUCCUUGUCUAUACUCUGGGAAUAUGAUCUCUCUUCUAUUCGGGUUAAAUGGUUUUUGCUAACAAUAACUCUAGGUUCUCGUAAAUACUUUCUCCCGGAGAGCCCCUUCAUUCCAGAUGAUGGCCUGCUUCAUCAGAAGAUUCUGAAGAUACUCUCUGAAGUUUUAUGGAGACCCUUGUGCCCUUCGUCGUUGCGAUCCCUACCAUCGACAAGUCUUUAUGAGUAGCUACCUACAUUGUCGUUCAUACCUUCAUCCCUAGUUGCUCUUGUUAUUACAAGAUGUCCUGAAAUACUCUGAUGUUCCGAGAACCCUUUAUGCUUGCUACCUUGCAGUUCUUUGCCACAUGAAUAUCCCCUAUGGAUAAUUACUCGUGCUUGCCGAGUACCCAUUCAUCCACAGUUGUUCAUGUGAUUCACAAGAUACUUUGGAAUACCAUCCGAUCUUCUGAGAAUCCUCUCCAAAUAUUGCUCUGCUAAUAAUUAUCUGCUUGCAUUAUGGUUACUUCCAUAUGUCUAGCAAUACUCAUUAGCAUCCUUUGUCAUCGUAAUUUCGAGCAUUUGAUUCGAUUCGUUUGCGAAUGCUCGCGAUCAUCAGUCCUAUUUAAAAUUCUCCCCUUGGUUCAGACGUCACUCCAGACAUGAGCUGGUGUUCGACAAAUCAAACCUUGAUUGAUUGUCGAUCUAUGUCUAUACAACUUACUUGUCUUUGAUCAGAGCCUCUGCUUUUGAUCCCUCGUUUUGGAAAUCAUAAUUCCUUUGCAUUUGAGCUUUGAAUUAGUCAGUUGUUCCUAUAAUCUGAUUUCCUUGCAUUCUUCUUCUUCUGGUUGAGUACCGAUACUCACAUCAGAUCCAUUGUGGACCUCCAGGUCCUUUGUUGGGUUCUAUCUGACAGUGUGCUUAUUCAGUAACCUUGUGAGCCUUUCCUCGGAUACAUAAUGCCUUUGGUAAAUCGUAUUCCCUGCUUUUGUCAACCAUGCUUUGUUUUCGAGCUUGAGUUACUUAUUCCUAAAGUUGUGGUAUAUGUUCCUAAGAUGUCCCUAUGGGUUGAAUCUAUGGCUUCCCUAAACUGUGUGAAGCCGAAGAUUAUGCGAGUUAUAUCUAUUGGCAUUCCUUCGGAUAAAUCUUCAAUUCUACAACUUCGUCAAAAACGAGAAGUAAAUGGAAAGUUGUGCAUUAGAGAAGUGGGAGUCAACCUUGAACCUUUGUGUUCAUGCCCGUGGGCCCGAUGUGGAACUUAUCAUGGAAGCUUCUUGUUAUAAUAAUAAUCCCCUUGUGAUAAGUUCAUUUGUUAUCUAUAUUUGGUCCUUUGCAACUGUGGUUUCGACCAUAUUGUUCUUCUUUGAUCCCAUUUUUCGGACAAGUGAAAGUACUUGUCUUCUUCAGAUCAUUUCACCUGUCCAACCUCUACUUUGAUCUACCAUCGAGUAUUACCCUAUGGUAUCUCAAGAAUAUCACAGAACUACAUAACUUCUUAUGAGUUUUUCAUCAGCUAUUAUUCUCGCCGAUUCAAAUUUUCCACGGGUUCUGAGAUGUUAGACACUCGAGAACACCGGUAAUUGAUUCAGGUCUCUAUUGCUUUGUUUAACCUUUCUUGUAACCUAUCAUAUCUGAGCAGUGAUAAUUUCCUGCUUAUGUAAACACCUCGGUGUACAGCUCUGUCCGUAAGGCCUUGUUACUAUUGCUGAUGACAUUCUGAUAGCCACCGAUGGACGAGAACUUUGCCUAUUGGUCCGCCUCGUCUUAACGAGCAGCAAAAUGGUUCUCUUCGUCCCUCGCCCUUGGUACCAGCAUGUUGCCAACAUAACCGACAGGCUAUCCUCUGACCUACCUUGUUAUCAUGACCGUACAAAAUGUUAGCACCCUUCCUGCUUUUAACCCACAUGGUGGGCCCAUAACCCACAGUUCCACAAGAUCGAAACCUGACUCUCCUGUACAACCUUGACUCUGAAAUAUUCUUUGCACUUGGCUUCGUAUGUAAAUAACGAGCCACAUACCUAGUGAUCUAUGUUGGUAUUAGGCGCAAUACUUAUUCCCAUUGCCCCGAACCCCUUUCACCCUCUGUUUCAGGCAACGAACGAUUGCCUACCCGGUUGAACCUUCUUAUUGCACCUUCUUAUCUUGCUCUCGAUGACUUUCUUAAAUUUCAACUCGAGAGAUGCCUCUAUGCCACGUUCAGUGAGAUAGCCCUCAGGUACCUAUCUUGUGAUGAGCUCCGUCCUUCUCGAGUGUGUCCCCCUUACUUCACCUCCUAAAUCUCGGGACGAGAUUUAUUGUAGUGGAGGAGAAUUGUGACGCCUGGAUAAUUAAGCUACAGUAAUCCCAUGUUAAUGGUGCCGAGUCAUCGCAAUUACUGUUGCUAAUCUUACUUUGGUUCAAACAAGAAUCAAAUUCAAAUUCAAAUAAAGUCAAAUAAUUAUUUCUUCAAACGGCAAAACAAAAAUGUUUGCUAGGUUACAGAAAUUCACCAACUUAUUUUCUUGAAGGAACCAAUAUUAUUUGACAUAUUAAAUUACCCCUAACCUAUUUAUAGUGUCCAAAACAACAUUUUUAAUCCAUUUGCAUUUAUACAAAAAUCAAAUGAAUUCUAAUAUUCCUCAAACCAUUUUAUAACAGUGUCAAAUAUUGCAUGAUAUUUAUUUGGCCAAGUCUCAUUUUCAAUAAAAGUCAAUUGCUAGUGGAAAUAAAAUAAUACAGAAAGAAGUAAAGUAAACAAAAAUGUUUUUAAAAGAAAAACAAAACAAAAUUAAGAACAAGGCCAAUCUCCCCCCCUCCCAUGGGCCUCUCGGCCCACCUGGCCGCUAGCCGGCCCACCCCGCACCAAUCUGGCCUACAAGGCCACCCCGACCCAAACCCUAGCGCUAACCACCCCCACACCCCCACUCCUCGUUCCCCACUCCCCCUCCCUCACCCAAUCCCAUCUAGAUCGAGAUCGGGGCAGCGAGCCCGAUCCCAUCGUCACCGUCGCCCCGUCCCCCUUGUUGUCGCCCCGCGGUGCGUCACCGCUGGCAUCACCGCAACGGUGCCCGCGACCGCGACGCCACCUCACCGCGUCGCCUCGUCCGCGACCGCGACACCGCCGGACUGCGUCGUCCCCGACCCCGCCGCCCGCCGCCGCCCGAAGGCCUCCCUCGUCGGACUGCCUCCUCAUCAGACCGCCCCUCCUCGAGCUCUGGCGCCUCCUCGAGCCCACUUUAGCACCUCUACAGGGCUCCGUGAGCAUGCUCCCCCUCUCCCUCUCUUCCCUCGUCGUACGACACCGUCACCGCGUUCCGCCCGCUCCUGGCCGUGCACGGCCACGCCGCCGGCGUGCGCCCACAUCCGCCACGACCGCUCCCGGCCUCUACUUCCCCCUUGGCGCUGCUCACCGCUGCCCGUCGACCCACACGCCCCGCUGCGACAUUCUGCCGCGCCUCCAUGGCCCCGCCCACCUCCGCCGACUGCGCCCCGCCUCCGCCGCCCGUCGUUCCCCCCUCACUCGCGGCCCUCCUCGAUGGCGGCCACCCGCUCGGGACCGCCACCGGCCGUGGCCAUGGCCUCGUCGGCCCUGCUGGGCGAGCACCCGCUCGGGGCCUGCGCCCGACCCCAGGGGCUCCGCCCGUUAACCCGUUUCGCCCAUCGCCCGGUUGGCCCCAGUGGGCCACUGACCGCUGGGCCCGGCCCCCUAUUUAAAAAAGGAUUUAAAAAAAUAAAUAAAUAUAAAAACAAUUAUUUAAUUAGAUAGUUAAUUAAUUAACUUAAUUAACCUUGCUUAGUUAGCCUAAUGAACUAGUUUAGUUAUUUUUAAAUCUGCUAAUUAGUUAGGUCAAUGACAGACGGGCCCCACUGCCCUGUUUGACUAGUCAACGGUCAGUGUUGACCGCUGACAUCAUGAUGACAUCAUGCUGAUGCAAUAACCCCAUUUUCGAAUUAAUAAUAAUUUCAGAAAAUGUUUAAAACUUUGAAAAAUAAUAUAAAAUAAUCCGUAGCUCGGAUCGAAAAACUUUGUACAUGAAAGUUGCUCAGAACGACGAGACGAAUCCGAAUAUGUGGUCCGUUCGUCUGCCACACGUCCCUAGCAUAGCAAACAUGCAACUUUUUCCCUCUAGUUCAUCUGUCUGAUAGACGUCCGGAACUGGGAAUACUUUCCCGGAUGUUUCCCCCUUCGCCAGUAACGCCUAGCACUGCGUUAGAACACCUCUAGCCCCGCUUAUAAUCAUGUUGUGCAUAUGUUUGUGUGUAUUUACUGUUUCUUCCCCCUCUUCUCUCCGGUAUACCCCGAGUCCGCUGUUGAUGCUGCUGAGAUCGACUACGUCGAUGACGACCCUCCUUCUUGUCUGAGCAACCAGGCAAGCCCCCCUUUGAUCAUCCCGAUAUCGCCCAUUCUAUACUCUCAUGCUUGCAUUAGAUUUUGCUACCGUUAUUGUUUGCUCCUAUUCUGAUGCAUAGCCUGCUUUUGUACCUGCUAUUGUUACCUACCUGCUUAUCCUAAACUGCUUAGUAUAGGUUGGCUAGUGAUCCAUCAGUGACCCCCACCUUGUCUUUGUUGGCCCUGCUUCAUCAUCAACGACUCGAUCAGCGUGAUCGACGACCAGAGCCCGACACCUCACAUCACAUUACGCCCCUUUUGUUGCUCGACUCUGCAGAGCUACUGUCGAGUGCCGAGGGUGAUCCCUCAUAACGCACUCCUGAUGAUAAUUCUGUAGUGUAGCUAUUCGGUCGUGGUCAUCGAGGGUGAUUUCCUCUUUCACCAUUCCCGAUACGGCUCUGUCGUUCAACACCUCAAGUGUGAACCUCGAGGGUGGUCCCUCUUACAUUCACCUUAAUGAUUACAUCGAGUGGAAUCCUCCGUGGGUGAUUCCUCGGGUUUUCCCCUUGAUGUUUGGACACACAGUUACAAUGACUUUACUUGAGACCUUGGUGAAAGUCGGGCGGGCCCGGAGAGCACCGGCAAGAUAAUGACGUGGCACGGCCGGGCAUUCUGAGCCCUUGUCGUAAGUCCACGAGACGGGGCGACGGGGUCACUUCCGAUCGUGAGUCUCUACUCGUCUCCGCAAGCUAAUAAUACACUAUGGUUUGGGUAUUUGUUCUGAGUUGGCCUCUGGCCUUUACGCACUAACCACCACACGAGAAUAGAUAUGGGCCUCGACGUCAUGGUAUCAGCCGAAGCUUUGUCAGACAUCUAGUUCAGCAUUGUGGUCGGGCCGGAUCGUGCCAUCCACUUCAUGGGCGGUGCUGGUAUCCCCUUGCGCACAACGAUCCGGAGUGCAACAGGCGAUGGGCCCAGACCCCGGAGUGCUUAGGAUGUAGACCGGCGGGGACCUCUCUGCUGAGCCUAGGUCGGGCUGCGACAUGUUGAUCUUCCGAGGGCGGGCAUUGACCCCAGAAAGGUGUGUCCAGCUAGAGUGAUCGAGCGUGUUGGGUAACGUCGUGCACCCCUGCAGGGAAGUUAUAUAUUCGAAUACCGUGUCCACGGUAAUGGACGUUCAGACUUAUAUCCUGAUCUUAUACAACUACAAAUGGAUACUUGAGAUAUGUGGCUCCGGGAUUGCUUUCUUGCAGGGAGUCGAGGAAGGAUCUCUGGGCAUUAAUGUUACAACAUGCUUGUUAAAUAUUAUAAAGUGCUAUUCUUUACUCUUCUACAUGCUGCAAGAUGCUCGGAGCUGCAUGAAGAUUCUAGUCCUCGAUAGGCUAGGCCUUCCCUCUCUAUUCUGGCAUUCUGUAGUUCAGUCCACAGAUACAACCUUUCCAUUUGAUACCAAUGCAUACUUAGUAUAGAUCUGAUGCUUGUGAGUACUUUGGAUGAGUACUCACGGUUGCUUUGCUACCCCUUUUCCCCCUUCUUUCUUCUUUCCGGUUGAUGCAACCAGAUGGUGGAUCCUUGGAGCCAGAUGCCACCGCCGAUGGAUGCUACUACGUGGAGCCUGCCGACGACCAAGAGUAGUUAGGAGGUCCCAGGCAGGAGGCCUUGCCUCUUCGAUCGUUGAUGUUUGUGCUAGCCUUCUUAAGGCAAAACUUGUUUAACUUAUGUCUGUACUUAGAUAUUGUUGCUUCCGCUGACUC